GGCACUUGUGAGAGGCUCCCAAUAGCCUCUGGCUACCUUGCUCUAUUAUCCCUUCAAAACAGCCUUCAAAAGACACCAAGAGAGCAUCUUGAUCUUGGGUUUCCCAGCCUUCAGAACCAGGCAGUGAAUUGAACUCUUGGGCUGAGGCAUGCUAGGCAUUGGACGCCUCACCUGCUAGCUCCUCUCCAUCUUCAUCGCAGGUCUGCAGACCCAUGGGGAAGGGCAUGGCACCCAUGCUAGAACCCCAUACACAACUGUGUCACAUCAACAAAUGAGUAGACAAA